rnacentral:lncRNA from 1 species
UAUUAAAAGACAUUUCACAACUGUCAUAAGUACCAACCAUGGUGAAAAGUGGCGUCUGGUCAUGCGUUUGAAUCCUAGCACCUAUAGUUUUGUUUUUAUUUAUUUUUAAGCCACUUUUCACCAUGAUUGGAACUUCCAACUGUGGUGAAAAGUGGCGCCUGAUCAUGAGUUCGAAUCUUAGCACCUAUAAUUUUGUUUUUAUUUAUUUAUUCAUCACAGUUGUUUAAAGUAUCUGUUGUGAUAGGUUGGAACCUACAGCUUUGUUUUUAUUUAUUUUUAAGCCACUUUUUAUAAGUGUGUUUAUUAAGUUUUUUCAUCGUUCUUAAACAAAUAUUUACCGUCCAUUUAAUGAGU